CCGAAUCCUGACACAGGGAGGUAGUGACAAGAAAUAACAAUACAGGGCUACUUCUAGUCUUGUAAUUGGAAUGAGUACAACUUACAUCUCUUCACGAGGAUCAAUUGGAGGGCAAGUCUGGUGCCAGCAGCCGCGGUAAUUCCAGCUCCAAUAGCGUAUAUUAAAGUUGUUGCAGUUAAAAAGCUCGUAGUCGGAUUUCGGGUCGGGCCGAGCGGUCUGCCGAUGGGUAUGCACUGUUCGGCGCGGCCUUCUUUCCGGAGACCGCGGCUACUCUUAACUGAGCGGGCGUGGGAGACGGAUCGUUUACUUUGAAAAAAUCAGAGUGUUUCAAGCAGGCAGCUCGCUCUUGCAUGGAUUAGCAUGGGAUAAUGAAAUAGGACUCUGGUGCUAUUUUGUUGGUUUCGAACACCGGAGUAAUGAUUAACAGGGACAGUCAGG
rnacentral:rRNA from 1 species